AAAAUGAUAUUUAUUAAUAUUUGAAAUAUAAAACUUAUUUACGCACGCUUGACUUGUGGAGUAAUCUGGUGAAUGUGUAACGAGAUCGUUACGAAAAGUGAGAUCGGGUGAGGCGAACGGAAGUUGAGAGGGAGAUAUAAG